rnacentral:rRNA from 1 species
ACCGCGGCUGCUGGCACAUAGUUAGCCGUGGCUUUCUGGUAAGGUACCGUCGAGCUAGUAGCAGUUCCUCUGGUACUUGUUCUUCCCUUACAACAGAGCUUUACGAUCCGAAGACCUUCAUCGCUCACGCGGCGUUGCUCCGUCAGACUUGCGUCCAUUGCGGAAGAUUCCCUACUGCUGCCUCCCGUAGGAGUCUGGGCCGUGUCUCAGUCCCAGUGUGGCCGAUCACCCUCUCAGGUCGGCUACGCAUCGUCGCCUUGGUGAGCCAUUACCUCACCAACUAGCUAAUGCGCCGCGGGCCCAUCUAUAAGUGGUAGCUUGCGCCACCUUUUAAUAAGAAACCAUGCGGUUUCUAAUGUUAUCCGGUAUUAGCUCACGUUUCCGCAAGUUAUCCCGGUCUUAUAGGCAGGUUGCCCACG